ACCAUGUCGUCAAUAAUUCUAAAUCGAGAAAUUUUAUUUUGGCCAGGAGCUGAAGUUGGUUGUUUAGUAGUAGUAGUUUGAGUAGUGACCGAAGUAGUAGUCUGGUGCAAGAGUAGUUGGGGAAGAAUUAGGUGUGGUAAUUGGGGCAGCUGUGGUCUCUUGUGGAGCUGGGGAAGACGGUGGAGCUGGUGUAGUUGCAGAAGGUGUGGGUGGGGCAGCUGUGGUCUCUGGUGGAGCUGAGGAAGAUGGUGGAGCUUGUGUAGUUGCAGAAGGUGUGGGUGGGGCAGCUGUGGUGUCUUGUGGAGCUGGGGAAUUCACUGAUGGAAUUUGGGUUGUAGCCACUAAGGUAGGGUUGACCACACUGCUAUUUUUAUCUGGAUGUUUAGGUGGCUGGUGAGGAUUUGGGAAUUUGGGGGGGUUAUUAGGUGAAGGUG
rnacentral:lncRNA from 1 species